UAUGGUUAAGUGACUAAGCGUACACGGUGGAUGCCUUGGCAGUCAGAGGCGAUGAAAGGCGUAAUAACUUGCGAUAAGCCCAGAUUAGGUAGUAAUAACCUUUAAGUCUGGGAUUCCUGAAUGGGGAAACCCACUUACAUAAGUAAGUAUCCUGUUGUGAAUACAUAGCAACAGGAGGCAAACCGGGGGAACUGAAACA
rnacentral:rRNA from 1 species